AGGCAGGGGAAGAUUCAUUAUAUUCACAGGUUGCAAAAGUUGAGCUCAAAAAGGUUUUCUCAACCAAAACGGUAUUGAAAAUUAAGGAGAUGAACUUGUCGGCUAAUCAAGAGAAAUCAGAAAUGAAGAAAUUAAAUUGGACAGUAAUAGGUGAUAAUGCCACAGAAGUUGGGAGUGUAAGAGGUGGUCCCGUGGAUGAUAGGGACAUGGUUGUAGAGUUGGGCCCAAUGGAAAUCCGCACUUUUAUCUUGCAAUUCUAAUAACUAGUCAACAUAUUGCCUGUUUUGAAUUACAUUUAUCUGUGAUCUCCAUCAUCCAAAUUACUUAAAAAAGGAUGAUUAUGAAAUAAGAUCCUUUGGUGAGCAACCAGUGUUCCCUUUAACAUUGAUCAUAUCUUGGGGUUAAUCUACUUCAAUUGGUGAGGCCUCAAAGGGAUUUCAAUGUAAUCACCCAUACUUUAAUAAUAAUAAUAAUAAUUUAUUUUGCUUGUG